rnacentral:rRNA from 1 species
UGAACGCUGGCGGCGUGCUUAACACAUGCAAGUCGAACGAACCUUCGGGUUAGUGGCGGACGGGUGAGUAACGCGUGAGAUCUGCCCUCAGGAGGGGGACAACAGCUGGAAACGGCUGCUAAUACCCCAUAUGCCGCGAGGUGAAAUGAAUUUCGCCUGAGGAUGAGCUCGCGUCUGAUUAGCUAGUUGGUGUAGGUAAUGGCUCACCAAGGCAUCGAUCAGUAGCUGGUCUGAGAGGAUGAUCAGCCACACUGGGACUGAGACACGGCCCAGACUCCUACGGGAGGCAGCAGUGGGGAAUUUUCCGCAAUGGGCGAAAGCCUGACGGAGCAACGCCGCGUGAGGGAUGAAGGCCUCUGGGCUGUAAACCUCUUUUAUCAAGGAAGAAGAUCUGACGGUACUUGAUGAAUAAGCC